UGGCAUCAGAUCAGGUAGGACUACCCGCUGAACUUAAGCAUAUCAAUAAGCGGAGGAAGAGAAACUAACAAGGAUUCCGCUAGUAACUGCGAGUGAAGCGGGAAGAGCUCAAAUUUGAAAGCUGGCGACCGCCCGCGUUGUAGCCUAGAGAAGUGCAUUCGGCCGUCGGCUCGGAAAAGUCCCUUGGAACAGGGUGUCGUAGAGGGUGAGAACCCCGUCUUUGCCGAGGCCCCGACGUCCAUGUGAAGCGCUCUCGAAGAGCCGAGUCGUUUGGGAAUGCAGCUCAAAACGGGUGGUAAACUCCAUCUAAAGCUAAAUACUGGCGAGAGACCGACAAGUACGGUGAGGGAAAGAUGAAAAGCACUUUGGAAAGAGAGUUAAAGAGUACGUGAAAUCGUUGAAAGGGAAGCGCUUGGAGUCAGCCGCGUCCGCGACGGGUCAGCCGUCAAGGUGCACUCCGCCGCGGACGGGCCAACAUCGAUUUCGGGCGCGGGAGAAGGGCGUGCGGGAAUGUGGCAGCCUCGGCUGUGUUUAUAGCCCGCCGUCGUACGCCCUGCCCGGGAUCGAGGACCGCCGUCUUCGGACGCAGGAUGUUGGCGUAAUGGCUCUAAGCGACCCGUCUUGAAACACGGACCAAGGAGUCUAACAUGUGUGYGAGUGUUUGGGUGUKGAAACCCAUGCGCGGAAUGAAAGUGAACGCAGGUGGGAGGCCUCGGCCGCACCAUCGACCGAUCCGGAUCUCUUGGGAUGGAUUUGAGUGAGAGCACGUAYGUUGGGACCCGAAAGAUGGUGAACUAUGCCUGCAUAGGGCGAAGCCAGAGGAAACUCUGGUGGAGGCUCGUAGCGAUUCUGACGUGCAAAUCGAUCGUCGAAUGUGGGUAUAGGGGCGAAAGACUAAUCGAACCAUCUAGUAGCUGGUU
rnacentral:rRNA from 1 species